CUGACUGAGGUGGCCAAGGUGGCUCAUGACAGCGUGACCUUCAUCCCCAGAGUGACCAAAUGGCUCAGGUGCCUUCCUUCACAUGCUGCAGAGAAAACAGGAACAGAAAGAAUUGGCUCCAUUCCACCAACAGGACUGGCUAAAUGGUCACAAACCUAUGUUACUCAUAAACAGACAGACUGGACAGCUGGUAAACCACAUAAUUAACUGAGGUCGGUUUAGAACAGAACCAGCUUUCAGAAGAGUACUGAAGGUGAUGGAAAAGGUAGUAUGGAUCCCCCAUGGUCAUUUUUGUGGAUGGACAUGACCCCUGAGGACCCAAGUCAUGUCAGAUUCCUGAGGGCUGCCUGAGCAAGCCACAUCAAACCCUCCUGAGAAGAAGACUAUUUCUCUUCUUGGGCUGCCAUUAUCACUAGAGGGACACAGGAGCAAAAGAGAAAUGUGAAGCCAAACUGCUUUGUAGGUGGGUGAACCCUAAAGAACUCUACAGGAUCAAAAUGUGAAGCCUAAACAUCUGUACAGGAUCAAUCCACCUCUUCAUCAAGUCAUUUUCACAAAAAACUUUGCUCUUGGAGCCACUCUCAGUCUUCUUAUUCAGCACAGCAGGUAGGCACAGGUAAGUGUAUGGAUAGGGUGACUUACUGCACGUGUCCAAGGACCAUUUUCCCUGGUGGAUACUUGACUGUGAAUGCUGCCUUCUGCUUGGCUCAGCUGAAGCACAAUAUAUGAACCCUCUGUCUGAAGGAUGGGGUGUGCCUUGUGUUGCACAAUACCAGGAGGAAAAAUUUAUGAAGAACCUCUUAGGACUUACCUUUUCUACUAUCUGCUGUCUUGUCUCUGCUGCUGCCCUGUGAAAUGAGGCUGUCUGGGAUCCAGAAAGAGAAAGGAAAAGAGAGGGUCUGGAUCUUCCAGGGUUAUAGGUUUCUUUUUCAGUAAAUAAAUCUGCAGAGACUUGUGGCCACCAAAAUGGUAGCUCCUGGUGUCUGGUGGUGUUUGAAUACUAUACCCACUAUGCCUGAAUGAGCAAGUAUUCCCCCAGUUUAUUGUGUUUAGCUCUUCCCUCUUCAGUGGCUUAUGGAAAUUUAUGAUUCUAUGAUUCACAAAGGAAAUAAAAAUACUUCAAUUGGCGUAAUGCAACUAACAUAUAAAGUUUAUAGCAAUCCUUUCAGUAAGUAAAAGCAUGAUUUCAUUGGCCAAUAUUGAAGUAAGUAACUGAGUUUGAUUGCUAAAUCAUCAUGAAUCAUUCAAUUUGGUUUCUUUGAAGAUGUCCUGAAAAUUGCCACUGUAAAACAAUGCAGAGCAUUUGUGGUGUGUUGCUCACAUCACAGGCCAUUGUUUUCAUUGACACUGUAGUCAACGAUUUAAUUAUACCCAUAUCAUCACCAGGCCUUAGGCUUUGAAAAAAAGCAUCCUAAUAGAAGUUGGGUGAAGACCAGUCCACCCCUAGAAAAAUUUGGUUUCAAAAUAGCAGUAUGCCUUGCUAAAAAGCCAUUCUGGGCAGCUGUUUGUGCCUUUGGGCCUUUAUUCAUAGUUCCCAAACUGCUUUAGUGCAGGAGGGCUCUCAAGUCCUGCUCUGUCCAGCAAGGAAGGAGUGGUGAUGAAAGCUUCUCAGCACCAGCCUUCACCCAGAUGUGAACUGCAUCACACUCCCAGAGGUGAGGAAUUCCCUGAGCACAGAGCAUAGGGGUGGGGGUGCAUACCAGUCUCAGAUUGGCUCAAACUGAUAACCUCCUCCAAAAAAAAAUCCCCAAACAAACCCAAACAAGAAACCAAAUGCAGACUGUAAGGCCAAAACCUUUCAAGAACCAAACAAAGGCAGUACAGCGUAGUGCUUUCACAUCCUUAAGGCUUUGGAAAAGCAUAUUGCUUUUAAAGGACAAACACACUAGUGGAAUUCCUGCUCCUUCAUUCUCCUUUUCUGGGCAAGUCCAAAACUAAGAGCCUUUUACUAUCCUCUUAAGGAAGGAAUGUCUUGUGGGAGACGCUUGUUAAAAUCUUGGCAGUGUAUCAUUGCAAUGCACCUUUCCAAACAAACCCACAGACCUUAUGAUUGCUUCAUGGUGUUUAAUGUGUAACGAGGAGUUCUGCUGCUAUUGUAAAAAUACCAGUUGACUUUUAACAGGACCAUUAAUUGAUACAGUAUCUUAUUAGAACUCUUGUUUAAGUGGCAGUAAAAUGUUAAACAUUCUUGAAUGUAUUAAUAAAGAAAGGCAAUUAGACAUGCUUG